rnacentral:rRNA from 1 species
AGUGAACGCUGGCGGCGUGCUUAACACAUGCAAGUCGAACGAGAACGGAUUUUAGCUUGCUAAAAUUGUCAGCUAAGUGGCGCACGGGUGAGUAAUAUAUAGGUAACGUGCCCUAGAGAAGAGGAUAACAUCUGGAAACGGUUGCUAAGACUCUAUAUGCCUUUAAGUCAUAAGACUGCAAGGGAAAUAUUUAUAGCUCUAGGAUCGGCCUGUACGGUAUCAGUUAGUUGGUGAGGUAAUGGCUCACCAAGACUAUGACACCUAACUGGUUUGAGAGGAUGAUCAGUCACACUGGAACUGAGACACGGUCCAG